rnacentral:rRNA from 1 species
GCUCACAUUGAACGCUGGCGGCAGGCCUAACACAUGCAAGUCGAGCGGUAGCACAAGAGAGCUUGCUCUCUGGGUGACGAGCGGCGGACGGGUGAGUAAUGUCUGGGAAACUGCCUGAUGGAGGGGGAUAACUACUGGAAACGGUAGCUAAUACCGCAUGACGUCUUCGGACCAAAGUGGGGGACCUUCGGGCCUCACGCCAUCAGAUGUGCCCAGAUGGGAUUAGCUAGUAGGUGGGGUAAUGGCUCACCUAGGCGACGAUCUCUAGCUGGUCUGAGAGGAUGACCAGCCACACUGGAACUGAGACACGGUCCAGACUCCUACGGGAGGCAGCAGUGGGGAAUAUUGCACAAUGGGCGCAAGCCUGAUGCAGCCAUGCCGCGUGUAUGAAGAAGGCCUUCGGGUUGUAAAGUACUUUCAGCGAGGAGGAAGGCAUUGUGGUUAAUAACCACAGUGAUUGACGUUACUCGCAGAAGAAGCACCGGCUAACUCCGUGCCAGCAGCCGCGGUAAUACGGAGGGUGCAAGCGUUAAUCGGAAUUACUGGGCGUAAAGCGCACGCAGGCGGUUGAUUAAGUCAGAUGUGACAUCCCCGAGCUUAACUUGGGAACUGCAUUUGAAACUGGUCAGCUAGAGUCUUGUAGAGGGGGGUAGAAUUCCAGGUGUAGCGGUGAAAUGCGUAGAGAUCUGGAGGAAUACCGGGUGAAUAGGCGGCCCCCUGGACAAAGACUGACGCUCAGGUGCGAAAGCGUGGGGAGCAAACAGGAUUAGAUACCCUGGUAGUCCACGCUGUAAACGAUGUCGACUUGGAGGUUGUGCCUUGAGGCGUGCGUUCCGGAGCUAACGCGUUAAGUCGACCGCCUGGGGAGUACGGCCGCAAGGUUAAAACUCAAAUGAAUUGACGGGGGCCCGCACAAGCGGUGGAGCAUGUGGUUUAAUUCGAUGCAACGCGAAGAACCUUACCUACUCUUGACAUCCAGAGAAUUUAGCAGAGAUGCUUUAGUGCCUUCGGGAACUCUGAGACAGGUGCUGCAUGGCUGUCGUCAGCUCGUGUUGUGAAAUGUUGGGUUAAGUCCCGCAACGAACGCAACCCUUAUCCUUUGUUGCCAGCACGUAAUGGUGGGAACUCAAAGGAGACUGCCGGUGAUAAACCGGAGGAAGGUGGGGAUGACGUCAAGUCAUCAUGGCCCUUACGAGUAGGGCUACACACGUGCUACAAUGGCAUAUACAAAGAGAAGCGAACUCGCGAGAGCAAGCGGACCUCAUAAAGUAUGUCGUAGUCCGGAUUGGAGUCUGCAACUCGACUCCAUGAAGUCGGAAUCGCUAGUAAUCGUAGAUCAGAAUGCUACGGUGAAUACGUUCCCGGGCCUUGUACACACCGCCCGUCACACCAUGGGAGUGGGUUGCAAAAGAAGUAGGUAGCUUAACCUUCGGGAGGGCGCUUACCACUUUGUGAUUCAUGACUGGGGUGAAGUCGUAACAAGGUAGCCGU